CAGACCCCCAAGGGAACAUGCAGGGGUGGGGGGUCAACAGCCCAGCAAAACAGCGACAAGAAGAGUCCCAACAACACCCAGGGACACUGAGGACAAAGAGGGUGCCCCAGGCACCUCCCAGCCAGCAGAUCUCUGCCUGGUCCUUGUGGCGAGGAGUCGCCUGGAUAUUCCUGCCCGAAGAGGUUACAGAGAGGUAAUCAGCCACCCAGCUAGAGUCAACGUCACUUCUAUGGUGAGAACCAGGCUUUUGGAUGCAUCCCUUCAAAUGGAAAGACGCUGCUGAGAUUGAGUGGGAGAACGGAAGAUGCAGACACAAUUAAGCAGAUACUGCAAACAGGAGGAUAUGUUUAAUGGACACAGGCUGUCAGGGUCUUGCAGUAACCAGUUCCAACCAAAAAUAUUUCCCCUUCGGAUUUGGUCAUCACAUCCCAGUUCUGCUCUCACAGUGGAAAAUUUGAAAAGGCUGGAAGAGGAAUAUGUGGCUUCUAAAGAAGCCUUCAAACUGCAGAGAAUGCAAGAUUAUGUUGAGCAGACUAAUCUUGCUUUCUUCCACAAAGAAACAGCUAGGAGAACCAGCAGAGAUUUUGUCUGUGAUGCAGAGCCUGAAGAAGCCUCCUUACCCCUUCCUGCUAAACAAGCAAAAAUUGCAAUGGAGUUUCCUGAAAUACUUCUGAAGAAAGAAGAGAUAUUGACAGAAUCAUAGAAUGAAUCAUCGUUGAAUGGUUUGGGUUGGAAGAGACCUUGAAGAUCAUCUCAAUCCAACCCCUCUGCCAUGGGCAGGGACACCUUCCACUACACCAGGUUGCUCAGAGCUCCAUCCAACCCUGCCUUGAACAAUUCCAGGGAUGAGGCAUCAACAACUUUUCUGGACAACAUGUGCCAGCGUCUCACCACCCUCACACACCAGCAACAUAUUCUCCAUCAGCUCAGCCCACAGGACCUGUGCCAAAGGAAUCCAGGCUGCUCUUCCAGCUGGGGAAAAAAAAUAGGUCUGAUUCCCCAGCCACAAUAAAUCAGCAUAAUACCACCCUUCCCACCACUGGUGCUGCUGCAGCAACACGGAUUUACACCAUCUGGAGAUGUGGCUCCCUCCUCCCUUCUGCCCGACGUAAACAUAGAGACAUAUCUAAUCUUCCUCGCAGAGAGAAGGCAGGGAAAGGAAAUUGAACAGACGCUCUUGUGAAGAGGCAAACAAAGACCAAAUUCUUUUUAGUGACUUUAAACAGCACUCAGUUCAUUAAUAACAAUCUUUAUAGGAAUAUCCAAAUUAUUUUUUUUUUAACUUCUUUCUUCCCUUGGCACCAAGGGAAAUGGAUGCAAGCAGCUGUUUUAGGGAAAGCUGUUACGUUGUUACAGGAACAUGCUGCAAGGUGUUUUUUGGAUUGUAUUUUAUAAAUAACAUUCACAGAAAUUGUAAAUAUGUUAUAGAUUUUUAAUAAAUUUAAA